CAAUAAUACCAAAAAAUCCCAACUAAGAACAUGACAUGAUCUGACACACAGUUUAGAGGUUCUACUCUAGUGUCAAUAUAAGGUCAAGGGUAGCAAAAACAUUAGGGAGCAAGAAAUUACAAAGGUAGAAAGAACAGCACUCGAAUUGGGAGUGAUUACAAGGAUGGAAAUUCGAAACAAAGCAGAAGACAGCAAUGCCAUGGAAACUAAGUAAGAGUUUUCAAGAAGAUUUACAGUCUUAAUAUGGAUCAAGCACAGAAUUUACUGUAUCAAACUGAAGUUUAUCCAGGAGGUGAAGAUCUGGUGUCCAAAAAGGGAACCAAAGGAGACCCCCAAUGGCCCCCAAGAGCAAUGAGCAACCAGGCAUAGGACUUCAUGAGCCCCUUGAUUUCACUGUCUCUGGAAAUGAUUGCAAAGUGAAUCAGAAGUAUGACUAUUUUCAUCUUACUCUGGAAGGCUGAAGACCACAUGGCUAUAAUUUACCCACUAAACCAUGAUCAAAACAAUUAGAAGUCUAUUGAUAUUCAGCACAGUUUUUGGCUCAUGUUUUUCUUUCACUGAGGCAAAAAAUAA